GUUGUUGGGUAGGGGAGCGUUCUGUAAGCCGUCGAAGGUGUGCUGUGAGGCAUGCUGGAGGUAUCAGAAGUGCGAAUGCUGACAUAAGUAACGAUAAAGCGGGUGAAAAGCCCGCUCGCCGGAAGACCAAGGGUUCCUGUUCAACGUUAAUCGGAGCAGGGUGAGUCGACCCCUAAGGCGAGGCCGAAAGGCGUAGUCGAUGGGAAACAGGUUAAUAUUCCUGUACUUGGUGUUACUGCGAAGGGGGGACGGAGAAGGCUAUAUCAGCCGGGCGACGGUUGUCCCGGUUUAAGCGUGUAGGCGGAGGGUCCAGGUAAAUCCG
rnacentral:rRNA from 11 species